rnacentral:tRNA from 1 species
GCUCCUGUGGCGAAAUUGGCACACGCGCAGCGCUUAGGACGCUGUUCCGAAAGGAUUGCAGGUUCGAGUCCUGCCAGGAGCA